rnacentral:tmRNA from 1 species
GGCCUUUUUUCCUUCCCGGUUCCACCCUAUAUUAGCCCUGCCGGUUCGCCGGCUAUGGAAAUAAAUGGCCGCCGCAAUAAACCAUUCGGACCCGGGGGCAGCACCCGGCGCCUCCACCAAAACCCGAUUUUCCGUGAUGGCGGGUUUCGGCGGGGGCGAAACAGGAUCGACGAGGGCGUAAAGGGCUCGCUUUUUCCCGGUAUUGUUCCGCCGUUAUCGGGCUUUUCAAUAGUUGCAAACGACAACUAUGCUCCGGUUGCUCAGGCUGCGUAACGCAGUUUGAAAGACCGAUUUCAAGUCCUGAUGGAUUAAGCCCCGUCAGGCGGGGUUCGGAGGCACCUGGCAACAGAAGCCUCCACU